rnacentral:rRNA from 3 species
UGAAUUGCAGAAUUCCGCGAAUCAUCGAGUCUUUGAACGCAAGUUGCGCCCGAGGCUUGUCCAAGGGCAUUUCCGCUAGAGCGUCACC